CCAGUUGUCAUUUCUGUGUCGAAGAAUGCAAUAUCUUGCCUCAGAACUGAUUUCAGGUACAAAGAACGGAUGCGGGCUGACUGCCUUUCUCCUGACGUUGUCCAGCAUGACAUCUCUGGAAGAUAAUGAAGGGUAUAGUUGUUAGCGAUGAUGCAGAGACCGAGGGUUAAACUUCCUCUUCGAAAAGGAAAAAGAAAAACAAUCCUCUGUGGUUAAGUCUAAUUGAGAGUGGAAACAUGUAUUCCAAGAAUAGAAUGGGAGCUGCACUUACGAAGAAAGGAAGCAACUGCUAUCCCAAUGCCCAGAUAUACGAAGUUGAGAACAACCUGGAGAUCAAAAGAACAUUCUCGGUUAACUCGUCUAGCCAAUCUUCAGGUUAAGUGAUCUGAUCACCGUAAGCUGGGGCGCACCUUGGUG